rnacentral:misc_RNA from 1 species
CCGAGUUUACAACUCCCAAACCCAAUGUGAACGUUACCAGACUGUUGCCUCGGCGGGAUCUCUGCCCCGGGUGCGUCGCAGCCCCGGACCAAGGCGCCCGCCGGAGGACCAACCAAAACUCUUAUUGUAUACCCCCUCGCGGGUUUUUUUUAUAAUCUGAGCCUUCUCGGCGCCUCUCGUAGGCGUUUCGAAAAUGAAUCA